ACCCCCCAGAGCCUGCUGCCGUCCUGGAAUCUCCUCUCCCACCCGGUCCCAGGCUGGAGCCAGGGAUUUAUUUAUUCCAACUAAUUUUAAAAGCCCCAUCCCAGGACACAAUGUGGAGUGAGGGCAGUGCCAGUGCCCCUGCAAUGAUUAACCAGGCUGGAUGACCCAGAUUCCACGGAAACCUGGGCUGCUCCUGCACCACUAUCCCAGACUCUCCCAGCUGGAUCCCAGGGACACACGUCUGGAAGUGAGGGACAGCUGGGAGAUACCACACAACUCUCCCCCCAGGGAGAGCCAGCACUGAGAGAAUUCCAGGAGUUUCAAAAGGUGUGCACUGGCACCCCCAGGGUUGGGACCUGGAAAAUCUUUUCCUUUGUACGGACCUGGGGGGGUCCCCGUGGGGAGCAGCACAGGGUCCAUCCCUGUGGGAUUCCUCCCCCCUCCCUCUGCCCCACUCCUGCCCAUGACCUGAGAGGACAAAGCCAGCAGCGACCUCUGCUCCCGUUGCAUGAGGACAGGUCACCUGCCCACAUCUGAACAGAAACACAUGGAAACAACUCCCUGGCAGGGAGGAGCAGCUUCCUCCCAGCCUGCUCAGGAGCAGCUCUCUUCCCAGCCUGCCCCAGCUCCUGGAUUUGGGAGCCGAGUGUGGGACAGGCGGCUGACGCACACCUGAGACUGCGAGAACUUUCACCACCUGUAAUAAACCACCCGCGUCCAAUCCACAACAACACGGGGCCGUUAUUCCACCACCGGCUGCACCGUCCCGCUCUCCCACACCUCGGGAGCUCGUCCGAGGGCUCCCCUGCCCGUGGCCGAGCCUCCUCCCAGCGCGGGGAGGGCCGGAACCCCUUCCGAGCGCACCUUCACCCACAGCCACGC